rnacentral:lncRNA from 1 species
UUCCUAAGCUAUAGUAAGUAAAUUUAUGAUGUUAACACUUUUGCAAAAACGAAUGUGUUGUUGUUCACCAAAUACAAUUUUUUGGGAGGGGGCGGAGCAUCAUCUACAUUUUUGUUAUGUACAGCUUCCUCAAGUCAGCACCAAAUAGCCCAAGCAGUUUAAAUGUACCCCUUACCAUGAUGCUCUUUUUUGUGCCUGACUGAUGACUCUAAGAGCCUUUUGAAGUAGCAAAUGUCUCGUGUGCCUUCCCCACCACAAGCUUCCUCCCUGUCAUGGGUUACACGCGACAUUCUUCAGCUUGAAGCCAAUCUGACACGUAUUGAUAAAAUACCAUGAAGAUCACAUAACAAUCUGAUAUUCCAUGUAACGGAGUCAACUGAAGUCCAUAGAGAGGCAGAAGGAGGAGAGGAACCACAAAAAUAAUUUUCAGCUCCCAUUGUCUUUUCAGUAGACUACCCCAAAGCAGUGUUUCUCCAUUUGUUCUGCCCUGAGCCAAGCAGAAUCUGUAAGGGAUCCAACUGCAUGGAGCUCCCAGCAGUGAGGUUUACCUCUGAGCUGCUAUAGUGGUCCCACCUGCAUUGCUUCUGAUCCUUCACUGUCAACCAUCCUGCUUUCCAUCCUUCCCUGAUUUACACACCAGGGAAACAAUGUGGAUAUAUCGUCUGUCCCCAAAAUGAUGUUUUUUUUUUUUUUUCAGGUACUCCAGGCUUAAAGCAAACAUCACAACGUGAUCAUCAAUUCUCCAUCAAGGUAACAUUAUCUAUCUCAGCCUCCUGCAUGGGAUACUGUGCUGAGACGGUACACUGAGCCAUGGGUAACAAUGUGGGAUGGUAGAAGGUGAGAAAAAAAUGAAGUAUGGUCGCUAUAAUCAUCAAUCCUAAAGGACUAUGUAAGAGCAUUAUUAUACAACUAACCUGCUUUCAGGAUUCUUCUACUGUAUGCAUCCCUUGAUUGACAGUGACAGCUCAGUCUUCGUGGAAUUACCAGCUAUCUCUUUUGUUAUUUUUAUGGCCGUAUACAGCAUUAAAUCUCCCUACUACAUUUCCCUAAGAGCCUUGGUUUUGCAUUUUUAAAGCAUGAGCUUUCAAUUGCCUUUACACUAUCCACAGAAAUUCUCUUUUAUGUGUCACACCCUUGUACUUCUGCCUCCCUCUCCCUUUAAAGGAAAUACAUGAGGACACAUAUUUCCCAGAUAGCUCAGGUUCAUUGUUGUUGAAGAUUAGCUGGUAAUGUACGUAAACUGCUCAGUUUCAACCUUUGCCCUCUCUUCCAAGUACAAUCUGUUGCGGACGGGCUCCCCAGUCACCAGGGCGCACACUGUGUGUAGGCAUAGAUCCAUUACACAGACAGUGAAACGAAGGAAGAAUCUGACAUUUGCUGAGCAGGUGCUGCGUCCCAUGAGCACUGCAAGGCAUUCAUUCCCUCUUUCUUGUAUCUUUCUAGAACCCUACGCAAAGACAGUAUUUAAACUCAUCUCUGCCCAGAUACACAGCCCUAGCUCUUUACCCGGUACUUUGCAGCCAUGGAUAUCUUCCACACUUAGGGUUGUAAUUCCAGUAUUUUACUUUUGUUUGUGUUCAACUUUUAUUCCUUAUCAAAUAAGUUCCUUCCUCCUCAUCUUCUCUAUCCCACAUCCCACCCUGCCAUCCUUGAAGAGGUACGAUGCCUUCUGUUUUACUGUCGUGUGCCUUGGUGACUACUAAUUCUGAACAAUAAUAUCUUUCUUUGAAUUUUAAUAAAAGUAUUGUUAUGCUUUGAACUUGAUGUGGCCCUUAGAGACUUAAGUUUUAAAGAUUGGCAGACAGCUGAUGGGUUUUGGGGAAGUGGCUGAUUGGGUCAUAAGGAACCUAACCUAAGUAGUGUUUGAACCAAUUGCUGAAAUCAUAGUUGAUUAUUGCAAAGGGUGGGAGAUGAGGGCUGGUUCUGAUUGUGCUGCUGAGGGGGCUUUGAAGUGUGUGCCUGCCCCUGAACUCUUCCUCUGCCUAUUUCCUCUGUUCAUCCCAACCAUAUGAGGCAAGCAGACAUUCCUCCUACUCAGAUAUUCUAGCCUCACCCAGCAAUGGAGGCAGCCUAACAGACUAAAACAGUGGAUCUCAAUCUGCGGCUCCUGACUUCUUUUGGGUGGUUGCCUAUCAGAUAUCCUGCUUAUCAGAUAGUUACAUCAUGAUUCAUAGUAGUAGCAAAUUACAGUCAGUUAUAAAGUAGCAAGGAAAAUAAUGUUGUGGUUUGGGGGGUGGGAGGGUCAGCACAAUAUGAGGAACUGUAAUAAAGCGUUGUAGCAUCAGAAAUGUGGACUAAAGCAUAUGAAACCAUGAGCCAAACAAAAUAAAGCUUUCUUUUCUUUUUAUUUUCCUUUUUUUCUUUCAGGUGCUGUUCUUGUGUGCUCUGUCUCUGCGGCAUAAAGUCUGACCAAUGCAGGACCCAUAAUGCUUC